rnacentral:rRNA from 1 species
UACAGAGGUCUCAAGCGUUGUUCGGAUUCAUUGGGCGUAAAGGGCGCGUAGGCGGCGGGGUAAGUCGGGUGUGAAAUCUCAGGGCUCAACCCUGAAACUGCACUCGAUACUGCUCUGCUUGAGGACUGGAGAGGAGACUGGAAUUCACGGUGUAGCAGUGAAAUGCGUAGAUAUCGUGAGGAAGACUAGUGGCGAAGGCGGGUCUCUGGACAGUUCCUGACGCUGAGGCGCGAAGGCCAGGGGAGCAAACGGG